AUUGAACGCUAGCGGGAUGCCUUACACAUGCAAGUCGAACGGAGUGGCGAACGGGUGAGUAAUGUAUCGGAACGUGCCCAGUAGCGGGGGAUACCUCCGCGAAAGCGUAGCUAAUACCGCAUACUAUUGGAGCGGCCUAUAUCGGAUUGGCUGGUUGGUGGGGUAACGGCUCACCAAGGCGACGAUCCGUAGCUGGUUUGAGAGGACGACCAGACACACGGGGACUGAGAAACGGCCCAGAAUCCUAGGGGAGGCAGCAGUGGGGAAUUUUGGACAAGGGGGGAAACCCUGAUCCAGCCAUCCCGCGUGUGCGAUGAAGGCUUUCGGGUUGUAAAGCACUUUUGGCAGGAAAGCGGUACCUGCAGAAUAAGCACCGGCUAACUACGUGCCAGCAGCCGCGGUAAUUC
rnacentral:rRNA from 1 species